rnacentral:lncRNA from 1 species
GUAAAAUCUUCAAUUGUGGCACCCAACAAUCAAGAAUUAAUCCUUUUUCUUUAACUCUUUCUUUAAAUCCCUCUGGCAAGGCUUCUUCUACUGAAUUUGUCCCUUCAGGUGGCUUAACCACUAAAAGGAACGGUAACUCAGUCAUUUCAAGGCCUAAAACAAUUUCUUGGAACUGCUUCUUUUCGAGAAUCGUUUGGCUCCCAAAUGCACAGAACACCACUGAUCCUGGCUCGAAUUUCUGGAGCCAAUUCGAUAAUCCAGGUUCUUCUAAAGACUCAUUUUUCGGCUCGGGAAGAACAGGUCCUGUGUAAAGGACUGGCUUUUCAGAUUGUGUUGCUGCGAAGUCACCAAAGGUUCCUUCAAUCUCUCUACAUGUUUUUCAAGAACUAAUUUGAUCAGAAAAUAUCCAGAAGCAUAUUCUACCAAUAAAAAUCAUAAUUCGCCAUGGAGUCAAAAACAAUCUGAACUUAUAAUAAAUAAUGAUCUUACGAAAAUUGAAGAAGUUCGAUUAGAAGAGUACAAAUAUUUGUCUAAGAUAAAUUUAGUAGAGAUCUCAACUGUAUGCAAAUAGUUACAAGUUUAAAAUUUAUGGGCUCUGAAUUUCAAAACAGGACAACCUAUCUUACAUUAAGCAAAUUUCUUAACACAAAUACUAUCAUUUGAACUGAAGAAACUAGAUUCUGCUAACCCCGUAACUUGAAUGGUAGAUCCGCCACCCAACAAAUUAAUCUAGAAGUCCAUGCAAGUUCAGAAUGAAAUUGUCAAUAUAGUUACUCUUGAAUCCAGGACUUGAAAGAAGUUCCUUCCAUUUCCUAUGAUUCUCUUUCAUUGAACAAGCAAUUUGGCUAUCUUUAUCCAUCACACAUUUCACAGCCUUGCACAAAUUCUCCUUUGUAAACAAAUCAUUUUCAUCUUUCUCCACUUCUACACCAACCUUAAGUUCAUGUUCCAUCAGUCUAGCAUUUAAAAGGUGAUCCGGAGGCCUUGGCAAAAAUACCAAUUGACAAUCACAAAGUGCCAAAGACUCCCACAUUGAUCCAUACCCACAAUGACUCACAAAACAACCAACUGAUUGGUGGCGUAAAAUCUUCAAUUGUGGCACCCAACAAUCAAGAAUUAAUCCUUUUUCUUUAACUCUUUCUUUAAAUCCCUCUGGCAAGGCUUCUUCUACUGAAUUUGUCCCUUCAGGUGGCUUAACCACUAAAAGGAACGGUAACUCAGUCAUUUCAAGGCCUAAAACAAUUUCUUGGAACUGCUUCUUUUCGAGAAUCGUUUGGCUCCCAAAUGCACAGAACACCACUGAUCCUGGCUCGAAUUUCUGGAGCCAAUUCGAUAAUCCAGGUUCUUCUAAAGACUCAUUUUUCGGCUCGGGAAGAACAGGUCCUGUGUAAAGGACUGGCUUUUCAGAUUGUGUUGCUGCGAAGUCACCAAAGGUUCCUUCAAUCUCUCUACAUGUUUUCAGAGCUAUUGCAUCACAUCCUGUCAGCGUCGUCUGCACUCGUUCGCAAAAUGUCAACCCCUUUCCAUAUUCAAUAAAUUGAAACGACAACAACUUAGCUUCACAUUCGCGCAACACCACAGUAGUAGAAGGGUAACCUGGAGAUCCACCAAUUGACCACAUCUUUAGAGAGCAGAAUGGAAUUGCAGAAUUACUAGCAAAACAUGCACUAUAUAUAUAUGCAUACAAGUAGUACUUUAUUUAUAGAAGAAACAUGGAUAUUUCUGACUUAUCAAUACGACGUCUUAGGAUAUUUAGAUAUCUUGUUUAU